CACUGACACUUAGUAUCGACAGUGAUGAUGUUAUGGUUCCUCCUUUAUCAAGGAACUUCCUACCCUGACCGAGUUAGAAAGAACAUUGUGAGUUGAGUCUUGAGCUACCUGUAACAUGCAUCAAACUCAAGAAAGCACUGAACUCUGGGCAUAGCAAAUUCUUCUGGCAGAGGCUGAGACUUGAAGGAAGACCAGUAAGUAUUAUUGGACUACUAAUUAAGUCUAUACUGUUAAUGAAAGUGCUGUAAAGAGUGGAGAGGCAUGUCAUACCCCUUUCUGUGAAUGCAGCAGCGAGACAAGAAUGUGUUCAUAUACCAAUAAUUUUCAGCACUUUCACUGACUGAAUUUUUACUGGUAGUAAUGUCAUCCAAACUCAAUAUGAAGUAACAGUGGGAAAUAUUAAAGGCAGACCUUAAUGUUACCUGUGAUGUUAUUACCUUGUCCCCUAGAAACUCCAGUGGUAGCUCUCAAUGAGACAGCCUUGGGUGUAAGGGUUUCCUGGUCCAAAACGAAGAUCCAUGACAGGUCUGUUGAUAUAUGCUUGUGGUAGGACAACUAAAUGACCCAGAAAUGUAAAUAUCUUGGUAGUGAAAUUUAUAACUGUGGGUUGUCAAACCAUGAAGUCAGCAUAUAGACUGGCCUGACCCCUGGAGUGAUGAACUUGAUACAAGUAUUUGGAGAUCCAGAUGCCUUUACAGAAAAACCAAGCUAUGUCUCUUCAGGCCUGAUAUUGUUUGUUUUGCAGAAGAGCAGUCCCUGUGAAUUAGAGUUAGAUCUUGGUACUUUCCACAACAGGUGGAAAUCAAGGGCAUAGGACAUGUUACUUGCAAAUUUCAGGACUGCUAGUUCAGUAUGUAAAAACACUUGGCUUGAUUCCCUAAGGAUAAUACCUGCUUAUCAGGUUAUCUAUUCUAGAGACAACCCUAGGUGGAGGAGGCUUGUGGGAUGACCUCCAAAAGUUUGGGUAAAUCAACCAAACUUGUCAUGAGAAGGUUUGGGAUGGGCUGGGCCACCACCUUGCAGAUUCCCAAGAAGGACUUUCAUGAUCUGAAGUGAAUAGGAGAUUGGUAUCCCCUUCAUGGUGGUAACUUCUAUUGAAUGAUUGAUCAAAACUAUACAUGUGAUAGACAGAUGUAUACAAUGAUGUAUUACAAAAUUUCAUUACUGUGGGAGCAACAUGUAACAUCUUAUCUCUUGCAACUAGACUUUAAGAUCAUCGUUGCACUUCUACCCUGCUGAAAACUUGUCACAUACAAAGAGGUAUAUUCAAAGGAAUAACAUCUGUAGCAUCCCAACUCAAGGAAGAGUCAAGUGCAUUUUUAUGUAUUUUAUUAGUUAUUACAUCCAUACUUUCAUGGUUACAUUUUGAUGUGCACUCAACAAAAUUUAAUAAACAGCAUGUUGGUAAAAUUCCCUUGCCUGUUAUUAUUGUUGGGGGCAUAGGAGAUGGGGACUGAGGCCCAAUGUUGAUCACCCCUACCUUGGACUGUAACCCUCGGCUCAACUAAUUUUACAUGGUCUUUUCUUCUCCCACUCUUUUACCUAUUCUUCAUUUUUCCCUUCUGUCUAUGGACACUGUAUUCCCUUGGUUAAUCACCUAGCCCUUACCCUGCAUAUGGACCCUGAGGGGUAGACCAUUUCACUUCCCCACAUAUUGGCUCACCAUACCCAAUAAUGAUUUGACUUCUCCGGUUUCCCAACCCCUGCCUCUACUUUUGUCACAGCUCUGACUACUACUACCCCCUUGAUGCUUGCUGUCAACUCUAUCCAUUCUGAAUCAUCCACCCAGUUCAUUACUCAACCAUCAGAAUACACCCCUUCUUCUCUCCCAACAUUCUCCACUUCAUCUCCUCAUUCUGCUCUCUUCCUCCCUUAUUAUUACUCUUCAUCCAUAUUUUCCUCCUCCCCACAGUACUACCUCACUCCAUACCACUUCCUCUUCCUCCCACCUUCAUCCUUCUACUAUUUCCACAUCUACAACCUUUUGAGUACUCUUUUUAGACCAUCCAAGUGGGAUUGAUUCUUUGUAAUUACCCCCUACAACUCCUUACUUUGACAAUAUCUUCCUCUUCCAUUGUCAC